AAUUCGCAAAUUUGAUAUGGGCUCUGCCAAAUAGCUGUCUCGGGAGAGCAUAUUGCCACUGCACCAGUACGGCAUUUCAGCACCUCAUAAGUGUUUAACAAUAUAUACGAUUGGCGGUUUUUUGACAAAGCGAUAAAUGAGUGUUCUAAUUGAUAAUAUGCGAACGUGUUAAUUGCAGGGUAGAAUACUGGAAAACUUAUGAUCUCAAACAGAUCAAAGGACUGAUCUGGAUUUAUAAGUGGAAUAUUUAUGAAUAAUCGAAGUGUACCUGGAAGCGCUAUCGCGGUUACAGUUAUCCGUUGAUAAUAAUUAAAUAAGUUAUCAUUUCGAAUGGGUUCGAUAAGCGAAACAUCUCUUGGCAAAUGGUUAUUUAUGUUUAUUAGCGUAGCUAGAAGGGUACGACGAGGAACAAAAUAUGAACUUAGUCGACCUUGUUCGAAGAUUUCAAUAGCUGUACGUAGAUUAGUUAAUUGUGUCUUAAAUCCGGCAAUGGCCCCUUCUAAAUAUCGGAAUGUAGUACCGAUGAAAAAUGCAUAAUUAUAAGCAUGAAUGCUUAGAAUUAGGUUUUCCUGACCGCGUGCUAACAGUCUAAUGCAGUGGUUCUCAAAGUAUGCGCCAAGGCGCACAAAACAGAGUUAAAACCAUAUGUAUAUACAUAGUUACAAUUACCAAAAUUAAAACUAGGUCUUAUAAGAACUAACAACGGAAUUAAGCAAAUAUAUACAAAUACUUAUUGCAUAGAAGUAAAGAUGAGCUGUACAAUGAGUCUGAAGACGGAUGGAUGUGGAUUCCUUUCACAUGCUUCAAAUUAUUCUCGAUGGACGAACCUGAGAAUAGGUAAACUGGGACUUCCACACGACACUCGGACUUCCACAAUAGCAAACGACCACGGGGUCAACAACCCCAACUCUUUCCCCCGGAAGAUAUAUAUAUACCCUCGCUCAAAAGUUAGUGCUUCCUCCUAUUGGACAAAAGGUGCUGUCCUCUAUCAGCAGAAGUCACUAUCACACCCAAAACACAGAGAAAAAUUGGUCAAUGACCAC
rnacentral:lncRNA from 1 species